GGAGGACUCUGUCCAUUCUCUUACCGCCAAUAUCUCCAGGAUCAGAACAGAGGGAAUAAAGGUGUGAGUUCAGUUCCCUGGUCCUUGUCUGUCUUCCUCCAGCCACUACCCAACAUCACUACCACAGAUGCUACACCUGCUGAAUAAAAUGAUGAACCUUGGACUGAGGAGUGGGUCAGGUCAGGCUCCCCUGUGCUCCCUAACUCCAGGAUGUCCCAGGCUCAUGAGGUGCUGGGCGCUGUGGAAGGGACAUGCUCUCAGCCUCCUGCUUGGGCUUCUUUCCUGUGGCUUGCAAGAGCUGAUCAAAGUCAGAUGGCUUUAGACCUGCACUGAUGAACACAGCAGCCAGCAGCCACGGUGGUUGGAAAUGUCAAAUGUCAGUGUUAAACAUUCGCCGGAUUCUGAAGACUUUGUCAGAGUGAACAGCAAAUAUCUCAUGAGUAAUUUAAAGAUAUUAAAAAAAAUGCUCAAAUGAUGAUAUUUUCAC